GCUCGCAUGAUGGAAUUGGUAGACAUAACGGACUUAAAAUCCGUAGGCUGUAAUGGCCGUCCCGGUUCGAAUCCGGGUGCGAGUACCA
rnacentral:tRNA from 1 species